GACGAACGCUGGCGGCGUGGAUUAGGCAUGCAAGUCGAACGGUAUCAUCCUUUCGGGGGUGAGAGAGUGGCGAACUGGUGAGUAACACGUAGGUUAUCUACCCUCAAGACGGGGACAACCCAGGGAAACUUGGGCUAAUACCGGAUGUGAGCAACUUUUAGUUGUUUGAAAGGUGGCGUAAGCUGUCGCUUGGGGAUGAGCCUGCGUCCCUAUUAGUUAGUUGGUGAGGUAACGGCUCACCUAGGCAAUGAUAGGUAGGCGGCCUUAACGGGUGGUCGGCCCACACUGGGAUUGAGAUACGGCCCAGACUCCUACGGGAGGCAGCAGUCGAGAAUAGUCUACAAUGGUCGGAAGACUGAUAGUGCGACGCCGCGUGAACGAUGAAUCCCUUCGGGGUGUAAAGUCCUUUUAUAUGUGAGCAGUGCUUCUUAUAUUAACAGUAUGGGGAGAGAGAUAUUAGCAUAUGGAAUAAGCAACGGCUAACUCCGUGCCAGCAGCCGCGGUAAUCUCG
rnacentral:rRNA from 1 species